rnacentral:rRNA from 1 species
UACCAGCUCUCCGAGUGGUGUGGAUGUUUAUUGGGCCUAAAGCAUCCGUAGCUGGCUGGGCAAGUCCCCUGUUAAAUCCACCGAUUUAAUCGUUGGUGUGCGGGGGAUACUGUUCGGCUAGGGGACGGGAGAGGCCGACGGUAUUUUCGGGGUAGGGGUGAAAUCCUAUAAUCCCGGGAAGACCACCAGUGGCGAAGGCUGUCGGCUAGAACGCGCCCGACGGUGAGGGAUGAAAGCUGGGGGAGCGAACCGGAUUAGAUACCCGGGUAGUCCCAGCUGUGAACGAUGCAGGCUAGGUGUUUGGGCGGCCACGUGCCGCUCUAGUGCCGCAGAGAAGUCGUUAAGCCUGCCGCCUGGGGAGUACGGCCGCAAGGCUGAAACUUAAAGGAAUUGGCGGGGGAGCACCACAAGGGGUGAAGCUUGCGGUUU